rnacentral:rRNA from 1 species
UACGGAGGGUGCAAGCGUUAAUCGGAAUCACUGGGCGUAAAGCGCACGUAGGCGGCGGCGUAAGUCAGAUGUGAAAGCCCCGGGCUCAACCUGGGAACUGCAUUUGAUACUGUGCGGCUUGAGUCUGAUAGAGGGGGGUGGAAUUCCAGGUGUAGCGGUGAAAUGCGUAGAUAUCUGGAGGAACACCAGUGGCGAGGGCGGCGCCCUGGAUCAAUACUGACGCUGAGGUGCGAAAGCGUGGGGAGCCAACAGG